rnacentral:rRNA from 1 species
GUACACACCGCCCGUCACRCCAUGGGAGUGGGUUGUACCAGAAGYAGGUAGACUAACCGAAAGGGGGUCGCYUACCACGGUAUGAUUCAUGACUGGGGUGAAGUCGUAACAAGGUAKCCGUAGGUGAACCUGCAGAAGGAUCA